UGCUGCUUCACUGCACUUUCCUCGCUGGUAGACCCAAGGCCACCUACAGCUCAGUGCCCAGUGCUACGAAGCAGCAGCUGCCCCAAGUGCCUCUCAAGUCCCUUCCCAAUGGAGUGGGUAAGCCUAAGAUGGACCCCAAACUUUCUGCCCAUCAGGUUCCAGAGGACUGACUUGCUGAGGUCCAGAUGCUACAGCCUGUCCCGAGGGACACUCCAGGAGAACAUCGCAUGAAGAUGAAGGCAGAGGUGACGGUGAUGCUUCUUCUACAAGCCAAGAGAUGCCAAAGACGCCAGGAGCCACCAGAAGCCAGGAGAGAGGCCUGGGACAAAUUCUCCCUCACAGCCUCGGAAGAAAUCAACCCUGCCGACACCUCGACCUUGGACUCCUGGCCUCCAGCACUGCGAGCAAGGCUGCCCAGCGUGUGGUACUUUGUUACGCAGCCCUGCCACGCAGACACAGGGUCUCACAGCACUCUGUCUGCACAGCUCGGGGUGGACAGCGCAUCACAGGGCUCCUGAUGUCAGUGCAAAGUGGCAGAAUUCUGCUGCAAGCUGUUCAGACGCCCAGUGAGAACAUGCAGGGCCAGCUCCGCAGGGUCAAGGAUGGAAUGAAUGGUCUGUUCAGCUCCCACAACUCCCCUGGCGAGCCCGUGACAUUGUGGCCUUCCUUGGCAGUACAUGAGAGCCUAGGGACGUGGCAGGGGCUUCCUUCAUUCCUUUCCUUUGCUGCUUCUCACACCUGUGUCCUUACUGGGUGGGGAUUCCUUUUCUCUCCUUUUCACCGCAUUUUUCCUGCUCCUCUCUGGCUUUUGGAGGCACUUGACUUUUCCUCACCUAAGCGCUUUCCCCGUUUGUUACAUCAGUAAAUUUUACUUAUAUAUCUCUUA